CCAAGAUGAAGACCAUUUCCCUGGUCUACAUUAAAAUCGUGCAGAAAUCAAAAGCACCUGAGAUCAUGCUGAGCCUGUGGGAUUAUGAGUCAGUGAUCAUACAGCAGCCUUUAAAAGAGGCAGUUCCUUGAUGUGUGCUGACCCUCUUUCCACGGUGGCCAUCUCUCCAGACCAAAGUGAAAUGUGACCUGCAGCUUUGAGAUGUCUCCUAGAAUGAAUAAUCUCCAGGUAUAUUCAAAACCAUUAAUUGCCUCUGAAGGGAGCAAAAUGAGGCUUCCCCAGAAUCCUGUUAUUUGAAGGAGAGAUACUGAGCUCAGUGUUUGCUGCUUCAGUGAGUUCCUAUGGCCAAGCUCUGAGAAGAAUGGGGGAUUGGAUUAUGGACAAGAUAGACUCCUUGAAGUACAUCCCCACUGGAGAAAACUCUUCCGGCAUAGCCCUCUAGGAAUUCCAGCUGAGAGCCUGCCAGUAGCCUACCAGGGCUCCUCCCCUUCCAGAUGCUGACCUCUCAUCUUUGUCACUUCCACAUCACAGACUGUCAAUAACUCCUAUAUGCUUUGGAGAAGAUGUCUACUAACUACUUGGCCUCCAGCCUCCACAUAACUCGAGAAUUUGACAAGUGUCUUGAAAGAAAAACUGAUGAUGGGUCAGGAUCAGUCUUCCCUGCUCAGUAGAUCCUUACCCCUCAAGUCUUUCCACUACUACAAGACACCAAAAGCUUUCCUGGUUUCUCUAUCUCCUCUACCUAGAGAAUACCAGGUUCUCAGACAUUAGCUCUAGGUCCAAAAUCAAGCCGGUUUUUCUUUUGCAGGGAAAAACUGGCCGAAUAGUGUUAACUCACUAGUCUUCCCCUUUCUGGAAUCUUGGCAUUUCUAGUUUUGGUUGCCCUAGCAGCUCUCCAAUGCCUUUAAACAGAUGUCUUCUGCUUCUAUUAGGCUUGUUCUUGGCUGAGGCCUUGGUCUGCUGGAAAAUACUGCCACAUACGCAGAAGUAGAAGUCUCUUGAGACAUCAUCUUAUUAGUUAUUUAUUGCCAUGUAACAAAUUACAUGGAAACUUAGUGACUUAAAGAAACAAUAAAAAUUUAUUAUCUCACAUUUUCUGUGCAUCAGAAUUCUGUGGGAUAGGAGCAGCAUAGCAGAUGGUUCUGGCAAAGAAUCUCUCAUAAGGUUGUAGCCCAAUGUUGCCUCGGGCUUGAGAAUGAGCUUCCAAAAGAGUUCACCCUCAUGACUGCCAAGCAGGUGCUGGCUAUUGUAAGAAAGUCUGUCCGUUUUCACACAGGCCUGUUACGAGUAUUUUCAUGACAUGGCAGGUGACUUCACCACAAUAAGGGAAGCAAGAACAGGAAAAAUGGAAGUGUGCAUGUCUUCUAUGACUGAGCCUUAGAAAUUACACUCUUUCCUUUCUGCAAUAUCCUAUUAGUUACGCAGAUCAGUCUUAUUAAAUGUAGAAGAAGAUACACAGAAAACAAACACCAGGGAACAGAAAUCAUUAUCAGUAAGGCCUAUCUAAAAGAAAAUUAUAUUUAAAAUAAAAUUCUUCAUAUAGAUGGAGAAAUUUAAGAAGUUGUUUUGCUGCAGUAAUGAUCAUUACAAAAUAACUACAAAGUUGUGCUUCUAGUGUUGGUUGCAAUUCUGCUCCUAUCUCAUGCACCUUCUUCAUUCAAGGAUCCAGGCUUGAAUAGCAACCUGCAUCUGGAAUAUGCUAUUCUGGUGACAGAGGGAAAUAAGAGCAAGAACCAUAGCACACAAAGGCCCUCAAUUGUUUACUUAGCUAUGGUAUACAUCACUUCUGCCUACAUUUCAUUGACCAAAGCAAGUCAUAUGGCCAAACCAGAUAACAAUGGAGUAUGAAAGUACAUUUCUCUAAUAGACAGGCACUGCUAGUACCAUGGUAAUCAUAGGGAUAUAUAUCAUAUUUCAGGGAAGUAAAGAAUGAAUAAUUAGGAUCAAUAAUAAAAUCUACCAUGAAUAUCUAGUAUGCACAAAGCAGUCAUAUAAUAAUAAAUUCUAUUUAAAAAGGGCAGCUCAGCUGGGUGCACAUAGCCACAUUUAUAAUUCUGGCUUCAGUCUUGAAAAGAAGAAAACUGUCAAACCAUUUCUACUUUUCGAGGCUUUUAAUUGUUUUCUCAUUUUUAGUCAUGUUUCAGUGAAAUACUUUGGAUAAUAUCAUGAUUACCAAAUCAGUAACUUCAUUUUUUAUUCUACUUUAAAAUUACAUUUAUUCUACUUUAUAAAUGAAGUAUGAAUCUGAUCCAAUUGUAUUCAAAUGACAUUCUAAAAAAAGUAUAUAGAAAAACAAACUGAGAACAAUCUAAGAAUGUUUUAUAAACUAUCUGGAAAGAUUGUUAGGUAUCAAUUGUGGAAAAAGAUUAGAAUCAAAUCUUAAAAUUUUUUACUUAGUAUUUUUCUAAUAAUUCAACAUUACUAAAAAUUAAAUUGAUACUAUAAUAAUUAAUGACCUUUAGUCCUGACAUGUAGAAUGUGUCCAUUCUCUGAGAUAAUACAAUGACAAAAUUAUUAUGCUUAAUACUACACCCAGAAAUAUUAUUUUUAGCAUCCAAACUAGAUUUUUCAUAUUUAUAAUUGUGCAUGGAAACAAUCUGAUAAUCAUAUUUUAAGACCAUAUAUUCUGACAUGGAGUUGCAGAACUGUGAUGAUCAUAAGCCUAUAUGUCUGAAAAGAAUACAUUGUGACUAAGACUUACACUAAACACAAAACAACACUGAUUUCUAGUAUCUUUUGCCAGAUAUACAGCUCUACUGUCCUUGUUUAGGUUUGCUGAUUCAAAUUUCUGUAAGAGUUGGGGUGGUCUUAUGAGGGUAGGAGGAAUUCUAUGCUAACAUUGGAAUGAAGCACAAGAAAAAUUAAAAGUUUUACAACCAUAUGGAAUGCAGUGACUUAUCACUUGAUAAAACAGAAUUUAACUGUUCAAGCCCUCAGCUAUGUAGUUUGGUUCAGCUCUAAUUAAUAAUAUUAAUUCCAUUCAUGUUCUUGGGUUCUAGUUUUCACAGCUUUCAUAAAACUAAUUCUAACUUUUAUACAAUUGAAUGUCCACAUAAGCCAGGCUAGCUAAUAUAUAUUAGUUUGAAAAAUUGCUUUUAUGUGAUACUUCACCCAAAUACUUUUUUUCUAUCUAAUAUCUCUAUCAACCAGGUAAGAAAUUGUUUUCACCAUGCAAUCUGUCAAAAUUACCAAUUUUACAAAAACAUUGGCAUCAAUUUUUCUUUUUCUUUUUCUUUAUUUCUUUUUUUCUGAGAUGGAGUCUGGCUCUGUGCCCAGGCUGGAGUGCAGUGGCGCGAUCUCGGCUCACUGCAAGCUCCGCCUCACGGGUUCACGUCAUUCUCCCGCCUCGGCCUCCC
rnacentral:lncRNA from 1 species